rnacentral:rRNA from 1 species
AGAACGAACGCUGGCGGCGUACUUAACACAUGCAAGUCGAACGAGAAAGGGCGCUUCGGUGCCUGAGUAAAGUGGCGAACGGGUGCGUAACACGUAAGUAAUCUGCCUUGGGCUCUGGGAUAACUUCUCGAAAGGGGAGCUAAGACUAGAUAGGGUCCCUGAGGCUUAAGUCGCAGGGGGAAAACGGGCCUCUGAUUUAAGCUCGCGGCCCAAGAUGAGCUUGCGUCCCAUUAGCUUGUUGGCAGGGUAAUGGCCUACCAAGGCGACGAUGGGUAGCUGGUCUGAGAGGAUGAUCAGCCACACUGGCACUGAGACACGGGCCAGACUCCUACGGGAGGCAGCAGUGGGGAAUUUUGCGCAAUGGGCGAAAGCCUGACGCAGUAACGCCGCGUGGAGGAUGAAGGCUCUCGGGUCGUAAACUCCUGUCAGGGGGGAAGACGUGAAGGGGAUGAAUAAUCCCUUUUGCAGACGGUACCUCCAAAGGAAGCCCCGGCUAAUUCCGUGCCAGCAGCCGCGGUAAUACGGAAGGGGCAAGCGUUGUUCGGAAUCAUUGGGCGUAAAGGGCGCGUAGGCGGUUUCGUAUGUCCGCUGUGAAAGCACACGGCUCAACCGUGGAGAGUCGGUGGAAACUGCGAAACUUGAGACUGGGAGGGGCUGGUGGAAUUCCCUGUGUAGCGGUGAAAUGCGUAGAUAUGGGGGAGAACACUCGUGGCGAAGGCGGCCAGCUGGACCAGUUCUGACGCUGAGGCGCGACAGCGUGGGGAGCAAACAGGAUUAGAUACCCUGGUAGUCCACGCCGUAAACGACGGGCACUAGGUGUCGGCGGUAUUAAUCCGUCGGUGCCGGCGCUAACGCAGUAAGUGCCCCGCCUGGGGAGUACGGUCGCAAGGCUG